GGAUUGGUGCCUUCGGGAACUGUGAGACAGGUGCUGCAUGGCUGUCGUCAGCUCGUGUUGUGAAAUGUUGGGUUAAGUCCCGCAACGAGCGCAACCCUUAUCCUUUGUUGCCAGCGGUUCGGCCGGGAACUCAAAGGAGACUGCCAGUGAUAAACUGGAGGAAGGUGGGGAUGACGUCAAGUCAUCAUGGCCCUUACGACCAGGGCUACACACGUGCUACAAUGGCAUAUACAAAGA
rnacentral:rRNA from 1 species